GACGAACGCUGGCGGCGUGCUUAACACAUGCAAGUCGAACGGAAAGGCCCCUUUGGGGGUACUCGAGUGGCGAACGGGUGAGUAACACGUGAGUAACCUGCCCUUGACUUCGGGAUAACUUCAGGAAACUGGGGCUAAUACCGGAUAGGAAUCCUUGCUGCAUGGUGGGGGUUGGAAAGCUUCGGCGGUUUUGGAUGGACUCACGGCUUAUCAGCUUGUUGGUGGGGUAGUGGCUUACCAAGGCUUUGACGGGUAGCCGGCCUGAGAGGGCGACCGGCCACAUUGAGACUGAGAUACGGCCCAGACUCCUACGGGAGGCAGCAGUGGGGAAUAUUGCACAAUGGGCGGAAGCCUGAUGCAGCAACGCCGCGGGCGGGAUGACGGCCUUCGGGUUGUAAACCGCUUUCAGCAGGGGCGAAGCUUGUGGUGACGGUACCUGCAGAAGAAGCACCGGCUAACUACGUG
rnacentral:rRNA from 1 species